rnacentral:sRNA from 1 species
GGCAAGAGGCGGCCGAGAAGAGAGGACCGUGGGGGCGUUCGCGUGGCUCCCAGGCCGGGACUCCACCCCCGCUGGACAGUGGGGGGAAACUGAGGCCUGAGUGGGCCCACAGAGGAUCAUGAAGGUGCUUCUCCUCACAGGGCUGGGGGCCCUGUUCUUUGCCUAUUAUUGGGAUGACAACUUCGACCCAGGUGAGCACCUGGGGUUGAGGGAGGGAGAAACCGGGCCAGCUGUCCUGUCCCAGAGUGACCACCCCGGCUAUGGCCAGCCAGCCUCCAGGGAGCGCGAGUGCUGCUGACAGGGGCCAACGCUGGUGUUGGUGAGGAGCUGGCCUAUCACUACGCGCGUCUGGGCUCCCACCUGGUGCUCACUGCCCACACUGAGGCUCUCCUGCAGAAGGUGGUAGGGAACUGCCGGAAGCUGGGCGCCCCCAAGGUCUUCUACAUCGCGGCGGACAUGGCCUCCCCUGAGGCGCCCGAGAGCGUGGUGCAGUUUGCGCUGGACAAGCUGGGCGGGCUGGACUACCUCGUGCUGAACCACAUCGGCGGCGCCCCGGCCGGCACGCGAGCCCGCAGCCCCCAGGCAACGCGCUGGCUCAUGCAGGUAAACUUUCUGAGCUACGUGCAACUGACGUCGCGGGCGCUGCCCAGCCUGACGGACAGCAAAGGCUCCCUGGUGGUGGUGUCCUCGCUGCUCGGCCGCGUGCCCACGUCGUUCUCCACUCCCUACUCGGCGGCCAAGUUUGCGCUGGACGGCUUCUUCGGCUCCCUGCGGCGGGAGCUGGACGUGCAGGACGUGAACGUGGCCAUCACCAUGUGCGUCCUGGGCCUCCGAGAUCGCGCCUCCGCCGCCGAGGCAGUCAGGGGAGUCACGAGGGUCAAGGCGGCCCCGGGGCCCAAGGCAGCCCUGGCCGUAAUCCGCGGCGGCGCCACGCGCGCGGCCGGCGUCUUCUACCCGUGGCGUUUCCACCUGCUGUGCUUGCUCCGGCGCUGGCUGCCGCGCCCGCGGGCCUGGUUUAUCCGCCAGGAGCUCAACGUCACGGCCGCGGCUGCAGCCUGA